CCAACUCCAUGACACAAUCAAUCAUCUGAAACGCUGAAUAAAUCCACCCUUUUUCAUUUUGUGUUGACAAUGGAAGAAGCGUGGAGUUGGUUGAAGCUCUUCCGCGUCUUUGUGGCGGUCAUGUCUUUGUCUUUGUCUCUGUCUCCCUUCACCAUGGAACCUGUUUCGUCUUCGACUCUCAAUACCCAAGGGUUGGCGUUGAAAAAGAUGAGAGAGAGGUUGGUGAGAGACCCAAUGGAUGCUUUGUGGAGUUGGAAUGGCAAAGAAGAAGGAGGGAUUGAUCCUUGCUCAUGGUUCGGAGUAGAGUGUUCCCAUGGCAAUGUUGUAUCCUUGUAAGCAACUUCUCACUCUUCUUCUUUACGCUAAUUCUCUUCAUAUCAUCUUGCUUUUCACCUCAUCCAUUAUUCACAAAUCUUACUUCAACUUUUCUUUUAGUGCUUUUGUUAUUUAUUAAUGAAU